AUACGGAGGAUCCGAGCGUUAUCCGGAUUUAUUGGGUUUAAAGGGAGCGUAGGCGGACGCUUAAGUCAGUUGUGAAAGUUUGCGGCUCAACCGUAAAAUUGCAGUUGAUACUGGGUGUCUUGAGUACAGUAGAGGCAGGCGGAAUUCGUGGUGUAGCGGUGAAAUGCUUAGAUAUCACGAAGAACUCCGAUUGCGAAGGCAGCCUGCUGGACUGUUACUGACGCUGAUGCUCGAAAGGGUGGGUAUCAAACAGGAUUAGAUACCCUGGUAGUCCACACAGUAAACGAUUAAUACUCGCUGUUUGCGAUAUACAGUAAGCGGCCAAGCGAAAGCGUUAAGUAUUCCACCUGGGGAGUACGCCGGCAACGGUGAAACUCAAAGGAAUUGACGGGG
rnacentral:rRNA from 1 species